UACCGAGCACCCCGAGUGGUCGGGACGUUUAUUGGGCCUAAAGCAUCCGUAGCCGGUUCUACAAGUCUUCCGUUAAAUCCACCUGCUUAACAGAUGGGCUGCGGAAGAUACUAUGGAGCUAGGAGGCGGGAGAGGCAAGCGGUACUCGAUGGGUAGGGGUAAAAUCCGUUGAUCCAUUGAAGACCACCAGUGGCGAAGGCGGCUUGCCAGAACGCGCUCGACGGUGAGGGAUGAAAGCUGGGGGAGCAAACCGG
rnacentral:rRNA from 1 species